rnacentral:rRNA from 1 species
GUGUCAGCAGCCGCGGUAAGACGAACCGUGCGAACGUUGUUCGGAUUCACUGGGCUUAAAGGGCGCGUAGGCGGGCACCCAAGUCGGGGGUGAAAUCUUUCGGCCCAACCGGAAAAGGGCCCCCGAUACUGGAUGCCUCGAGGGGGGUAGGGGCAUGCGGAACUUCCGGUGGAGCGGUGAAAUGCGUAGAUAUCGGAAGGAACGCCGGUGGCGAAAGCGGCGUGCUGGACCCCUUCUGACGCUGAGGCGCGAAAGCCAGGGGAGCAAACGGGAUUAGAUACCCCUGUAGUCC